UACGUAGGCAGCAAGCGUUGUUCGGAGUUACUGGGCGUAAAGGGUGUGUAGGCGGCUUUUUAAGUUUGGUGUGAAAUCUCCCGGCUCAACCGGGAGGGUGCGCCGAAUACUGAGAGGCUAGAGUGCGGGAGAGGAAAGUGGAAUUCCUGGUGUAGCGGUGAAAAUGCGUAGAUAUCAGGAGGAACACCGGUGGUGUAGGCGGCUUUCUGGACCGUAACUGACGCUGAAACACGAAAGCGUGGGUAGCAAACAGG
rnacentral:rRNA from 1 species